rnacentral:rRNA from 1 species
GCUCGCGUCUGAUUAGCUAGUUGGUGAGGUAAUAGCUUACCAAGGCGAUGAUCAGUAGCUGGUCCGAGAGGAUGAUCAGCCACACUGGGACUGAGACACGGCCCAGACUCCUACGGGAGGCAGCAGUGGGGAAUUUUCCGCAAUGGGCGAAAGCCUGACGGAGCAAUGCCGCGUGGAGGUGGAAGGCCUACGGGUCGUCAACUUCUUUUCUCGGAGAAGAAACAAUGACGGUAUCUGAGGAAUAAGCAUCGGCUAACUCUGUG